rnacentral:rRNA from 1 species
GUCCACACCGUAACGAUGAUUACUAGGUGUUGGAGGAUUGACCCUUCAGUGCCGCAGUUAACACAAUAAGUAAUCCACCUGGGAGUACGACCGCAAGGUUGAACUCAAGGAAUUGACGGGGCCCGCACAAGCAGUGGAGUAUGUGGUUUAAUUCGACGCAACGCGAAGAACCUUACCAAGUCUUGACAUCCUGCGACGGUUCUGGAAACAGAACUUUCCUUCGGGACGCAGAGACAGGUGGUGCAUGGUUGUCGU